rnacentral:lncRNA from 1 species
AAAUCUUUAAAAAGUGUAUCACAAGUAGAAAUGCAUUCCAAGAAGUCACAAGUGAUAAUGAGUUCAACAUUAUAGCCUCCAAACUUGAAUCCUCACAAAUGUGGAUGUUUCAAUGAUGCACUCAACUCUCAAGUGUUUAGAUUGGACGUGUUUGCACUCAAAUUGAAUCAUGUAUGCAAUCUACCAUAGGCUUGCCAUUUAUCCUAACUCUCUAUACUUCAAUGUGUUAUAAAUAAUGAUCAACAAGGGCUUUCAUAAGGUUGUAAUGAGGGCUCUUUGGUGAGGUGAGGUGUUUUUAGGCAAAUGACUCAUAUCCCACAAUCUAACAAUCACAAUGAACAAUUCAAAUUCACCAUUUCUCUUUUCUAAUCAAUCAAAAACCAAUAUCCCCACAUUUCUUCUUUUCACCCUUAGUGAUACUUAUCAUGAUAUGAUUCAAAAGGCAAAUCACUCCCCUUUAUGCUCUUUUAUUCACAUUCAUUUUUAUUUUUUUUUUUCUUUUUUUUUUCUUUUUCUUUUUAAGCUCAUAGGGAACUAGUGAUUUUCACUCAAUCAAAGCUUGAUAAGCAAUUUCAAUCAUUUCCCAAACAUUUUUAUCAAAGUAACCACUAACAAUCUAAGUUCUACCCAUCAUUGGUUAAUUCAAAGAAAUGCUACAAGGCAUAAAGAGGGUAAACUAGGAUCAUAUGAGAAUUUGGACACAAUUUAAGUCAAGUGGCUAACAAGGAUGGCCUUAAAUCACUUCAAUAUUAACAACACAUCUACUUUUAUUUUCAAGAGAGGACUCAUGGCAAGUUCUAGAGAUCAACACACAUGCUCAAAUGAUUUACACUCAAGAACAAAAUGAGAUUGUAAAUGUAUGACAAUCAAAGGCUCAAUUCUCACAAGCUCAUUUUCGUUUUCAAGUUCUUGGAGGUACAACAUUUAGCUCAUUUGUCACAAGUUCAAACUCUACAUGCAAAAUCAACAAGUGAAACACAACAAAUUCUUUUCAAAAACAACAUUCAUAUCAUAAGCCCAACACACAUUUCAUCCAACUCAUGUUUUUCAACAAUCAAGCUCAAAAAUAAAAGACAAGGAAAAGCUCAAAAACAUAGACAAAACUAAUUAUUGUAAAAUAACUAAACUAAAGUAACUAAACAAGAAAAAAAUAAAAUAAAUAAACAACGGAUAAAUGAGAUAAGUAACCCGUCUUCACCCUCCCCCCAAACUUAUUUCACACAAAGGAGAAAUAAAUUUGGACGAAGAAGAAGAAAAUGGCUACUUGUCUCGUACUCACAAGGAAGGUGGAGGCUUAGGCGGUGGCCAUUUCUCAUCAAAUUUGUAUGCUCCAUCCACCGCGACCCAAAAAUAUGGUGGCUUUGCAAUUCUUGAGACAUCACGGGCGUCAUGGUAAUCUCGUUCACCAUCUAAAGUACCACAACACUCAAACAAUUCCUUAUUAGAUAAAUCAAAAUGAAAAUCAAAAGAUGAAGAUAAAUAAAAGUGAAAGAAGCAAGCCUUCAUAGAAUCGCCUGUGGCGAGGUAAGGAUCGACAAAAUUUUUGACUUUGCUUUCUUUAAAGCUUGUGAAAUCUUCAUCUUUUUGGAAUUGUAGAGGUUGUGUCGGAAAAGUUGGGCUCUCGACUUCAAGGGGUUUGGAGAAUUGAUCCUCAUCUUCUUCAUACUCUUCUUCAACUUCUUGAGGCUCUUCACUUAGCAUUGGCAUUGGUUCCUCAUACAAGGUUCCAUUUUGUAGGCUAAUGGCCAUGCACAAAUCAUCAAUUCGCUUUUGAUUUUCCAUAGUGGUAGCCAAAGACCUUCUUUGCUCUUCUAGCAUAACCUCCGAUUUUGCUAGACUUUUUUCUAUCCAAGCUUGUGUAGCUAUGAAGCAUUGUAGGAGAUCGUCUUUAGAAUUCGGUUUCUCCUCUUGAUAGUAUCGAUUUCCCCCUUGGAAGCCUUCUUGAGUGGAAUAAGAAUUUUCAUAAUUCCAACUAUUGAAAUGGUCCUCAUACUCCAAUGGUGAUUGCCACUCCAUGGCAUUGCACCCCAUGUCAUAAUACUCACCAUAGGAAGGUGUUGGUUGGAAGACUUCUUGGAUCAAUGGUUGCCUACAAUUUCUUUUGGCUUCUAAAACUCGCAACUUAAGUUGCAUCAACGCCAAUUGUAGUUGGAGUUGCUCAACCAACUCAUUCCUUCCAUCAUCCAUUUUUGGUGCCGCUUUUACGGUUGUGGAGCAAUUUUCUCUAACAAAAAUAAAUAAACAUAUAAAUAAACAAACAUAAAAACAAUAUCUAAAUUAGAUAAAAACAACUUUUCACAAUAUCAAAAGUAAAAACUCAACCAAUCCCCGGCAACGGCGCCAAAAACUUGUUCGCUAUUAUUUUCACCACGCCGCAAGUAUACGGUGUAGUUGCAAUAUAAGGGAAGCAAGGUCGUAUUCCACAAGGAUUGGUGAAUUUAAACUUCUAAAUACUAUUAAUAAGUUGUUUUCAAUCUAUUUAGACAACCAAAGUUGAAGAGUUGUUGAUAACUACAACAAAGCUAAAUAAAGCAAGAAAAGUAAAUAAACUUAAUUAGUUAAUAAAUUGGGGAAUGACUUGAAGGAAAGUUAUCCUAGGGACUAGAUUUCGAUGGAUUGUAAUGAAUUUUAAUCUAAAUCAAUAUUAAUCUUGAUAUGGCCUACUUAUCUAGGGCGAUCUCCCCACUAGUUUUAGCCCCCUCCCGGACGAUUAAAACAGUAGAUUACGGGUCAUAAUUGCCGUCCCCGGUCAAUUUCUAACCUAUAACUCCCAAGAGCACAAAAGAUCAACAAGCCCUCACCCAACUCUCAACCUCCCGGUUUAUUGAGAUGAUAUGUAUCAAACUCCUAAUCUAUUGUAAUUAUCCUCUCCCGAUUCAAAUCACAAAUUAGAAAUGCACAAAAGGUGGCCAACCAAUCAUACAAGAGAUAAAUCUAGGGCUUGAAAAGAUAACAAUAAGCACAAUCAAGAUAUAUGUUAAACAAAUAAAUCAAUCCAUUUCAAAUCCAUCUAAUCUAAUCCCUAAGAUAAGGGAUUUUAGCCAAGUAUAUUCAUAAUAAAAAUAAAUCCCAAGUCAUAAGAAAACAUAAACAAAGAUAUAAAGAAAUAGAGAUUCAUAGACAAAUCCUAUAAUCUUGAUCUUCAAUCAUUUAGUCUUGAUGAGCUCAUUUCCAAGUCUCCCCCUUCUUUCUUUGAUUUUAGUGUUGUUUAGUGUGUGGAAGAGAGAAAAAUGAUAGAGGAUGGAGGCUAGGGUUUGAGAUGGAUUGUUGGGGAAGAUGAAAUUGGGUGUGUGGUGAAUGAUAUGAAAAGUGAGGGAAUAAAGGGUAUUUGGGGCUGAAAAUCUCGUCUGGGCCCACAAAAACGCACAAUUCCACCUUUUGGUCGCGGUCACGGCCGUGACCACGGUACAGGAUCAUGGGGAAGCUGUUGGAAGGGCCCGACCGCGGCCCGGACAGCGGGUGCCGUCUGGCGAUCUGGACGAUUUUGGAGCAGAGGCCCGCAGUCGGGCCCGUGACCGCGACCCGGGACCGCGAGGUACUGGGCUCAAUGCGUAGUCCGCUUGUUCGGCUUCGUUCUCCCUUGUCCGAACUUCGAUUUGGUCACCGUUUGCGCUAAUGAAUUUCUCUCGAGACGUACUUCAAUCUCAUGUCUUCAAAAUCCUCCAAUUAAUCCUUGAGUUUCCCUGAAAUUACUCCAAAACUACACAAAGGCAUUAAAUCUUCAUAAAACUAAACAUUCUGGCACAAACAAGCAUUCACAAGCAAAAUAUGAUGGAAAAUGACAAUAAAUCAUGUGAAAUUGAGGUACGAAAACUAUGUUUGUAAACCCCCCAAACUUAAAGCGUUGUUUGUCCCCAAACAACAAAGAGAAGAGAAAUAAAAGAUAACAAACAUGUGAGAAUGAAUUGGUGUCAUUUCAAGAGCUUCAAAUUUUUCAAUAAUCUUUCAAAAAUGUAUCACAAGUAGAAAUGCAUUCCAAGAAGUCACAAGUGAUAAUGAGUUCAACAUUAUAGCCUCCAAACUUGAAUCCUCACAAAUGUGGAUGUUUCAAUGAUGCACUCAACUCUCAAGUGUUUAGAUUGAACGUGUUUGCACUCAAAUUGAAUCAUGUAUGCAAUCUACCAUAGGCUUGCCAUUUAUCAUAACUCUCUAUACUUCAAUGUGUUAUAAAUAAUGAUCAACAAGGGCUUUCAUAAGGUUGUAAUGAGGGCUCUUUGGUGAGGUGAGGUGUUUUUAGGCAAAUGACUCAUAUUCCACAAUCUAACAAUCACAAUGAACAAGUCAAAUUCACCAUUUCUCUUUUCUAAUAAAUCAAAAACCAAUAUCCCCACUUUUUUUCUUUUCCACCCUUAGUGAUACUUAUCAUGACUAUGAUUAAAAAGGCAAAUCACUCCCCUUUAUGCUCUUUUAUUCACAUUUCUUUUUGCUCUUUUUUUCUUUUCUUUUCUUUUGGAGCUCAUAGGGGACUAGUGAUUUUCACUCAAUCAAAGUUAGACAAGUAAUUUCAAUCAUUUCCCAAACAUUUUCAUCAAAGCAACCACUAACAAUCUAGGUUCUACCCCUUUAUCAUUGGUUAAUUCAAAGAAAGGCUAUAAGGCACAAAGAGGGUAAACUAGGAUCAUAUGAGAAUUUGGACACAAUUUAAGUCAAGUGGCUAACAAGGAUGGCCUUAAAUCACUUCAAUAUUAACAACACAUCUACUUUUAUUUUCAAGAGAGGACUCAUGGCAAGUUCUAGAGAUCAACACACAUGCUCAAAUGAUUUACACUCAAGAACAAAAUGAGAUUGUAAAUGUAUGACAAUCAAAGGCUCAAUUCUCACAAGCUCAUUUUCAUUUUCAAGUUCUUGGAGGUACAACAUUUAGCUCAUUUGUCACAAGUUCAAACUCUACAUGCAAAAUCAACAAGUGAAACACAACAAUUUAUUUUCAAAAGCAACAUUCAUAUCAUAAGCCCAACACACAUUUCAUCCAACUCAUGUUUUUCAACAAUCAAGCUC